CCUGCGCGAUAACAUCGUGUCAGGACGGAGGGACGGUUCGCGAUUGUGUCUGUCUAUGCCCCGGGCACCGUCUGGGGAACCGCUGCGAGGCGCCAUGCCAGAAUGAUGCAUCGUGUUCCAGGCUUGGAGUGAGUGCCUGUUACAAUCUCUACGUCUAUGACCACUGCCCCGCGCUCUGCCAGAGAUGCCGCCCGGAGUCGCUGCCCGAUGACUGGUCACAUCCGAACGCAGAGUAGAAGUGACGGCCUACGCCAGCCCUACUCAUCCUGGGGACCUCGUUUCUCCCUGACGUCUGCCUCCCACCAUCUUCGAUCGCGGCCGUAUCUCCGGAGCCGAGGGAGAUCCCCCCCCCCCCCACCAAUGAGGCCUAGCGUCAAGUUGGGCCUGAUCCGUGGCCUUUCUGCCCAGGCCUGAGGCCUACCUAGCGACGGAACCCAUUUGCCUUCCCCCCGCCCUCUGUUUCUGUCACCGCAUGUAAUCCUUCCCCAAAUAAAGAGCCAUUGACUUCU